GACGAACGCUGGCGGCGUGCUUAACACAUGCAAGUCGAACGGAAAGGCCCUGCUUUUGUGGGGUGCUCGAGUGGCGAACGGGUGAGUAACACGUGAGUAACCUGCCCUUGACUUUGGGAUAACUUCAGGAAACUGGGGCUAAUACCGGAUAGGAGCUCCUGCUGCAUGGUGGGGGUUGGAAAGUUUCGGCGGUUGGGGAUGGACUCGCGGCUUAUCAGCUUGUUGGUGGGGUAGUGGCUUACCAAGGCUUUGACGGGUGGCCGGCCUGGGAGGGUGACCGGCCACGUUGGGACUGAGAUACGGCCCAGACUCCUACGGGAGGCAGCAGUGGGGAAUAUUGCACAAUGGGCGGAAGCCUGAUGCAGCAACGCCGCGUGCGGGAUGACGGCCUUCGGGUUGUAAACCGCUUUCGCCUGUGACGAAGCGUGAGUGACGGUAAUGGGUAAAGAAGCACCGGCUAACUACGUG
rnacentral:rRNA from 1 species